GUAACGGCCCACCAAGGCGACGAUCAGUAGCCGACCUGAGAGGGUGAUCGGCCACAUUGGAACUGAGACACGGUCCAAACUCCUACGGGAGGCAGCAGUGGGGAAUAUUGGGCAAUGGAGGAAACUCUGACCCAGCAACGCCGCGUGAAUGAUGAAGGUCUUCGGAUUGUAAAGUUCUUUUCUAAGGGACGAAGAAAGUGACGGUACCUUAGGAAUAAGCCUCGGCUAACUAC
rnacentral:rRNA from 1 species